AUUGAACGCUGGCGGCAUGCCUUACACAUGCAAGUCGAACGGCAGCGCGGGGCAACCUGGCGGCGAGUGGCGAACGGGUGAGUAACAUAUCGGAACAUACCCUAGAGUGGGGAUAACGUAGCGAAAGUUACGCUAAUACCGCAUACGCACUAAGGUGGAAAGUGGGGGAUUCGCAAGAACCUCAUGCUCAUGGAGUGGCCGAUAUCUGAUUAGCUAGUUGGUGAGGUAAAGGCUCACCAAGGCGACGAUCAGUAGCUGGUUUGAGAGAACGACCAGCCACACUGGAACUGAGACACGGUCCAGACUCCUACGGGAGGCAGCAGUGGGGAAUUUUGGACAAUGGGGGGCAACCCUGAUCCAGCAAUGCCGCGUGAGUGAAGAAGGCC
rnacentral:rRNA from 1 species